rnacentral:lncRNA from 1 species
UUGAAAAAGAAAGAGGUCUCUCUCUCUCGUCUCAUCUUCUCUCCCUCGCCUCUUUCUGUUGCACAAACAUUGGCGGCUGCUGCCGUUCCGCCAUCUCACGAUUGGACGACGCUGUUCAGAUUUUUAGGAGGUCGGAGGCGAUGCCCUCUGUAGGAUAGCCGAGGGAGAAAUUUUGUGACCGGAUUUGGGGUUUUUUGGGAGAGAUUCGUGGUCGUCCAUGGUAGUCCCAGGCUGGAUCUGCGGUUUGUGUGAGGGAGAAGAGAAGAUUGGGAGAGAGGAAGGCCGCGGUUUGGCCGCCGGAGGACAGAGGGAGUGGCGAUGGCGGCUAGGUUUUUGUUUGAGGAAUCUGAGCGAGGGAGAGGGAUGCGGCAGAGCAGCUGUUUUAGCCGGAGGUCGAGGCUGGAAAGGGUGGCUCCUUCUCUCUCUUCGAGUAUUAUCCUAACUUGAUGUAGCUCAAUUCUUCAUGCGAUGUAUAGGAGUUCNCGCGGCUCAGGGGCAGCGGUCGUUGGGUGACUGGUGGCCGGAAGCGGGCCUCUUGCAGGGUAAUCGAAGGAGGAGAAGUUUGGUGGCCGGAUUUGGGGUUUUUUGGGAGAGAUUCGUGGUCGUCCAUGGUAGUCCCAGGCUGAAUCUGCGGUUUGUGUGAGGGAGAAGAGAAGAUUGGGAGAGAGGAAGGCCGCGGUUUGGCCGCCGGAGGACAGAGGGAGCGGCGAUGGCGUGUUUGAGGAAUCUGAGCGAGGGAGAGGGAUGCGGCAGAGCAGCUGUUUUAGCCGGAGGUCGAGGCUGGAAAGGGUGGCUCCUUCUCUCUCUUCGAGUAUUAUCCUAACUUGAUGUAGCUCAAUUCUUCAUGCGAUGUAUAGGAGUUCAUAGAGCAGGUAGGGAAAGACGGCGUUGAGUCGGACGAGCAGCGACGGCGGCGUUUGCCACUGCUUGAUUCGAGAAGGGGGGCAGCGCGUGCCUGCGUGGGACGAAGGUGGCGGCCGCGGCCGUGGCUCACCGCUGUCGCCGGAGGACAGAGGGAUGUGGCGGCGGUUCUUCUCGCCUGGCCAAGGGUGGACCUCAGCGGUGGCCACCCGAGUUUUAGGCUAACCUCAGAUGCACUCAACAACAAAUUCAAGCUGCAAUCCAUCUUGAAUUCUAGCUCGAAUGUGACUAUUUCGAACUUUUCAAGUAGGAUUUACAGCUGAAAUCAGGUGCUUUAAUUGAAGUGCGGUUAUUAUGUCUUUCAAUGCGAUUAUAGAUUUGAGUGAGGAGUUCGUUUUGCUUUUGUGAAUCUGUAUUUCACAGCCUGUAUCUGCGUCGUAUCAUCAAUUUGAAUUUCUGAUUUGUAUUAUCUGUGUUUGCUUGUUUGAGAUGGAGUUUGAGCGGGAGAUGAAGUUGAGCGGUCGGAGAGGCGAGGUGGGCGGCGGCAGCAGCCGGGUGUUGCCGACUGCCGCUGCUGAUUUGUGCAGCGAAGGAGACGAGCUGGGGGAGUUAAAUUCCAGCAGCUUUCCGCCAGAGACUUCAAGGUGAGUAUUUGCAUAAGGUCGUGGGUUUAUAUCCCACACAUUGCGAUUAUGUGUUGCUUUGACAAAAUCUGCUUUGCUUGGUUUUAAACCAUAAAUAAAUUACUUGCUUUCAUCACUAAUUUAGUAAUUUGCUUCGCUUGGUUUUAUUGUUGGUACCGUGCCUCAUUGAGGCCUCUAUGUGUGGAAUUUUUGAAAUGGUAUAUUUGACAAUUGUGUAGCAGCUGAAAUUGUUUAUUUUUAAAUUAGUAGAAUUGCAGCUAUUUUUUCCUUCUUUGCUGGUGAUGAAGUAUGAUUUUUAUGUGGAAAAAUGAAGUGAACUAGUAGAAUAGUCUGUUUUGAGUCUAUGCAAUUUGAGAGUCUGCUUAAACUUAGUAAAUAUGCAAUCUUUAUUAUUUUUGACUGCUGGUGGUUGAGUGCCUUUGCUGGUAUUAUAUUUCAGGAGGUCAUUUGGUUUUGUCUUGUCUGAGUGGCAAUAAGAGUAGCAAUAGCCUAUAUUUCGUUCUUCAUUUCUUAUUUUUCUUCAUUUCAGUUAGUAGGCUGUGAAAGAGGGAGCUAUGCAGCAGGAGAGAGCCAAUGUCAUUUAUUCAUUUAUUUAUGGAUUUUUUGUUUGCUUUUUGGAGGUUUUGAGCUCUCCACAACAGAGGUUGGCUCAGGGAAGAAGUGCCCAGACAGAUCGAGACCUUAUGAGACAGUUGUAGGCUUCUUUUUUGGUGUUUCCCUUGUUGAAGCUAUCAUGUGUGACUUGUUGGUAGCUCUUAUUUGUUCAACUUUUUGUAUGUCGUCAUUCAUUUUGAAUGUGGCUAAAUUCUUUGUUUUGAGUGCAGAAAUUUCAGAUGUUGUAUCGUUAUUUUUUCUUGCAUUGCAUCGUUUAAGACUUGACUAUUUAGCUGACUUCUCAGAUUGGCAUGUGCCUAUUUUAUAUCCAGCUUGAACUUUAGACCAUUGGUCGGUUUGAGCUAUUUAUCUUAUUAGGACUUUUCAUUUGUGAAUUUUCAGAAAGUCGACACUGCUAGAUAUCUGUGAGAUUUGCCUUAUUCUAUAAUUCGAUGUGCUUUGCUGAUACAUGUGCACAUGUUUGAAUAUCAUAUUUGAUGAAGUAAUCACAUUGAUUAUGAUGGCUUCAAUGUAGGGAUUAAUGCAACGUAUUGCAGCUUGUAUAUUUUAGAAAUCAACAUGUCAAAGAGAUGCAUAGACACGACAUGUCCUUUUAUUUUCAUUUCGUUUUGCCAGCUUGGAAUUGAUGUUGGAGAAUUUAUUGCAUCUAGGCAAAGCCAGACUGGACUCAUAUGUGACAUCUUGUAUGUGAUUUUGAUAUAUACACUUGUAUUUAUUUUUCCAAGCCGGGACGAGUUACUGUAGAGGCAGCAAAAUUAUCCCUCAAGAACUGGAAUAAUACUUCUAAUUUUAUUUGGUAAUCCAAGUUGGAACCGGUUGACACUAGCCAACUUGUGAUUGCAUUUGACUUGGGCAAGUUGUGCCUCAUCUUGGUGUGCAAGCUAAUCAAAUAAUUUUAUGCAGCAUGCCAGCUUCGGAUUAUUUUUUGAAUCACAUGCUGGAAUUGUAGAGUUGUCGGCUCUGAAUUGCCUAAGUCGAAUACUUGAAAUUGAACCAAGUUGGUUUUCAUUGGGUCGCACUGACUUCGAUCAAUUGAGGUUAGUACAAUAUGAUGAGAAUAUAUGAACAUGUGGCAUAUUCAGACUUUCAAAAAGAUAAAUGUUUACAAACUUCUUGUCUAUCUCGUUGUUUGCUCCAAGCUGGGUGGUUCGAUCAACUGGAUGACUAGAGACCAAUGGUCUUGAAUUUCAUGUUGUGAUGAUGUUUCUUUCCUUAAUGAUACAGGUUGAUCUUGUCCGUGUAGAGAAGUCAUCAUUAGUGACUUGUAUCUCGCAAGGUGCUAACGUUGCGGGACAGGCUGAGACAUGUCGAUUUGAGGUUGGUGGCUGCACUCCGGAGAGUUUCGUACCUACAUUUGGCGAGGAUCAAACCAAAUAUAGUUCUUGGGCCAGAUUGUGCUCCGUAGAGCCAUGCUCCGUAGAGUUGCCUACGUACCCUUUGACGGAAUUAAGAGUGAUGUAGUUCCGUCUUGGUGGCGAUCGGGCGGCUAGGUCAGCCUGAGUAGCCACGUGGGGGUGCAUCAGGAGUUUCAGAUUCGUCACAACCGUCAGACAUGAUUGAUGCUCGUAGAGAUCUAAGGAAAGUGCGUUGAUUCGCUUGAUUGCUAGGGCCCCACGGUGGGCGCCAAAUUGUAGAGGCUAAAAUCUACAAUUGAAGUUGACGUCUGCACGUCCGGAUAGAUUGGGCACUAGCAACCUGUCAACACAAGAACACGUAAGAACCCUAGGUUGAGCACCGGGAGGGGGUGUCGACCGUAGAGCCUCCGACGCUCAAGUCAGUAACGGAAUAGUAAAAUAGAAUGAUAAGCAAAUUGAAAUAAGAGAGAAAGGCAGGCUGGAAUGAGCGGUUAUUCCAGGCUGUAGGCGGCGUCGGAGGGUGGAAACGGUGACAGUGAGUUGUGAUAAUGGAAUAUGGGAGGCGGCGGUAGGCCAAGCUGGCUAUUUCCGGUUUGGAAGAGAAAUCAGCCUGGCGGCAGAGUAGAGAGAGAGUUCAAGGAGUAGAGAGCAAGUAGGAUUUUUCGUGUCCCCUUUGAUGACCUAGUCGGGCUGUUUAUAUAGUGGACAUCCAGCAGCUAUGGUUUCUACAGUCUGGCCUCGUCAAGGCCCUUAUCUCCCAGGUUGUUGCGAUUUGGACGGGAU